rnacentral:rRNA from 1 species
GACGAACGCUGGCGGCGUGCUUAACACAUGCAAGUCGAACGGACGAGUGAGAUAAGUUUACUUAACUCACAAGUUAGUGGCGGACGGGUGAGUAACACGUGGAUAAUCUACCUGCAACACCGGGAUAACGCUGUGAAAACGGUGCUAAUACCGGAUACGUUCCCUUGUGCGCAUGUAUGAGGGAAGAAAGCUCAGGCGGUUGCAGAUGAGUCCGCGGCUGAUUAGCUAGUUGGUGAGGUAAAGGCUCACCAAGGCGAUGAUCAGUAGCCGGCCUGAGAGGGUGAACGGCCACACUGGGACUGAGACACGGCCCAGACUCCUACGGGAGGCAGCAGUGGGGAAUCUUCCGCAAUGGGCGCAAGCCUGACGGAGCAACGCCGCGUGGGUGAAGAAGGCCUCGGUUGUAAGACCUGUCUUAUGGUAAGAAGUCAGUGACGGUACCAUAGGAGGAAGGCACGGCUAACUACGUGGCCAGCAGCCGCCGGUAAUGAGUAGUAACG